rnacentral:rRNA from 1 species
GACAGAGGGUGCUAGCGUUGUUCGGAAUGACUGGGCGUAAAGGGCUCGUAGGCGGUCUGUUGCGUCGGGAGUGAAAACUUACAGCUUAACUGUGAGCGUGCUUCCGAUACGGGCAGACUUGAGGUAUUCAGGGGAGAACGGAAUUCCUGGUGUAGCGGUGAAAUGCGCAGAUAUCAGGAGGAACACCGGUGGCGAAGGCGGUUCUCUGGGAAUAUCCUGACGCUGAGGAGCGAAAGUGUGGGGAGCGAACAGG